rnacentral:rRNA from 1 species
AUUGAACGCUGGCGGCAUGCCUUACACAUGCAAGUCGAACGGCAGCACGGGUGCUUGCACCUGGUGGCGAGUGGCGAACGGGUGAGUAACACAUCGGAACGUACCUUAUCGAGGGGGAUAAUGCAGCGAAAGUUGCGCUAAUACCGCAUACGCCCUGAGGGGGAAAGCGGGGGACCGUAAGGCCUCGCGCGAUUAGAGCGGCCGAUGUCUGAUUAGCUUGUUGGUGAGGUAAAAGCUCACCAAGGCGAUGAUCGGUAGCUGGUCUGAGAGGACGAUCAGCCACACUGGGACUGAGACACGGCCCAGACUCCUACGGGAGGCAGCAGUGGGGAAUUUUGGACAAUGGGGGCAACCCUGAUCCAGCAAUGCCGCGUGAGUGAAGAAGGCCUUCGGGUUGUAAAGCUCUUUUGUCAGGGAAGAAACAGCAGCUCUAACACAGUCUGCGAAUGACGGUACCUGAAGAAUAAGCACCGGCUAACUACGUGCCAGCCGCCGCCGUAA